rnacentral:tmRNA from 1 species
GGGGGCGUAAAGGUUUCGACGGGGAGAGCGAGGUCUGGGCAGCGGGUAGCAGUGGGGGAACUGCUCUAUAACUCCUCCAAAAAAAUUAACUGACAAUAACAAUUCUCAGUUGCUCGCAGCCUGAGUGCUGCGCGUUCCGCCCACUCUUGUGUCGUGUGGGGCCGGGGCGUCCUUUAGAC